rnacentral:rRNA from 1 species
UGAGCAAUCUGCCCUUCUCUUUGGAAUAAGCGUUGGAAACGACGUCUAAUGCCGAAUACGACCUCCUUUCGCAUGAUCGGAGGUGGAAAGCUCCGGCGGAGAAGGAUGAGCUCGCGGCCUAUCAGCUAGUUGGUGUGGGUAAUGGCCCACCAAGGCGACGACGGGUAGCUGGUCUGAGAGGAUGGCCAGCCACACUGGGACUGAGACACGGCCCAGACCUGUACGGGGAGG